rnacentral:rRNA from 1 species
UAAUACGGAGGAUCCAAGCGUUAUCCGGAUUCAUUGGGUUUAAAGGGUGCGUAGGCGGAUUUGUAAGUCAGUGGUGAAAUCCUGCAGCUUAACUGCAGAACUGCCAUUGAUACUGCAAGUCUUGAGUACAUCUGAUGUGGGCGGAAUGUGUCAUGUAGCGGUGAAAUGCUUAGAUAUGACACAGAACACCGAUUGCGAAGGCAGCUCACAAAACUGUAACUGACGCUGAGGCACGACAGCGUGGGGAUCAAACAGGAUUAGAUACCCUGGUAGUCCACGCCGUAAACUAUGAUCACUCGAUGUUGGCGAUACACAGCCAGCGUCUAAGCUAAAGCAUUAAGUGAUCCACCUGGGGAGUACGGUCGCAAGAUUG